AAGGAAGGAGAUCCUGACACGGGCGACAGCAUGGAUGAGCCUUGGGGACAUUGUGCUCAGAGAAAUUAGCCAGACACAGAAGGACAAAUCCUGUGUGAUUCCACUCCCGUGAGGUCUCCAGAGUCAUCACAUCCAUAGAGACAGGAAGCAGACGUGGGGAAAAGAAGAAGAGAAAACAAGAAACACAGCAGUGGGGACCUCUCACUCAGACACAGCCCCACUCUGCGCCCUGGUGUUGUGGGAACAGAGCUGCUGUGAGAGGGGACAGGAGGCGGUGACCAGCGACCUGGAGAAGGCUGGCCAGGCCAGGAGAUGCCACACCCGGGGCAGGACGGGCCCGACGUCACCCCCUGGAAGCAAUUCCAAGAGACGAGCGGCAAUCUGCUGUCUGCUAAGGGGGCUUUGGCCAAAGACGCUCUUUUCAGGUGCAGGUCCAGCCUCCCCACACACCCAGCCCAGGCGAUGCAGCGCGCCACCUGAAACUGCAGCAUCUCAGUGCACGGCCACUGCUCACGGGGUGUCCGCGAGGUGCCCCUGCCAGGGCCAGCACAGGGCCCGGAGGCCCUCCGGCCAACACAGGCUCGCACGUUUUGGCGCUCGGGAUUCCAUGGGGCUUCACUACUUUUGUACCAAAUGUCUUAAGUCAUGGCCUGAUGUUAGGCCCUAACCCUACCCCUAACCCCUGAAUGUGUCCCUGCAAGUUCAUAUGCUGGAGUCCUAACCCCAGGAACUCAGAAUGUGAGUGUACUUGGAGAUGGGGUCUUUAAAGGAGUGAUUAAGGUAAAAUGAGGCCAUUAGGGGUGGGCCUAAUCCCAUAGGACUGGGAAGAAGAGGAGAUCAGGACACAGACACACACAGAGGGAUGACCCCGUGAGGACACAGGGCCGUCUACACGCCGAGGAGAGAGGCCUCAGGAGGACCCAGCCCUGCCCACAGCUGGAUCGCGGAUUCUAGCCUCCAGGACUGGAGACAGUUAUUUCUGUGUCCUGGUUGCUUGGGCACUGACACGGCCCAGUGAAAUGACCCACCUCUGCCGCGUCUUUCCACCUGGAAUCUGGAGAGCGUGGUCCACUGUGGCUCUGGUCCCCAAGAGCCUGGCCGCUGCCUCUCGGACUCUGUGUGUCACCAGGAAGUCCCAUUGUGGCGUGGAGCACCGGCUUCUC